rnacentral:misc_RNA from 1 species
GGCAGCAAUAGUAGUUUUAUUGAUCAGAAAUUGACUGAGGAAUUAAAGCUGGAUUUAGUUCAAACACCUGCAACUGCUAUUGCUCUGACUGAUGGAAGAAGUCUGAGUUGCAAUCAUCAUUGUCAGCAUUUCAGUUAGAAAAUGCAAUCUCAUAAAGUUCAAUUUGAUUUUAGAAUAUUGGAAUUGGGAAGCUUUGAUAUGAUUCUAGGAGUGGAUUGGUUACGAAGCUUUAAUCCAAUAUUGUUUGAUUUUAAGGCUUCUAGAAUUUCUUUUAGGGGAAAAGUGUUGUAGAAUGUAGGGAAGGCAGAGACAGAACCUAUUUUAUGUUCUAUUGAGAAUUUAUUUUAAAGGAAAGGGAUGGAUUUCAAGUAUCCAUUGCUAGACAAUUCAAAAACAGCAGUUGCUUCAUCUUCUAAAUGUAAACCAGCAUCCGCAGAUAGAGGAAGUAAUGCAGCAUGGGAAGCUUAAAAUUUUAUUUAGGAAUUUUA